rnacentral:tRNA from 1 species
GGCUAGAAAGCAAAAUUGGUUAUGCGAUAAAUUGCAAAUUUAUUUUUUAUUGGUUCGAUCCCAAUUCUAGCCU